rnacentral:rRNA from 1 species
AUACGGAGGAUCCGAGCGUUAUCCGGAUUUAUUGGGUUUAAAGGGUGCGCAGGCGGCCAUUUAAGUCAGCGGUUAAAUCGUGGGGCUCAACCCCAUUCUGCCGUUGAUACUGGGUGGCUUGAUUGCGGUCGAGGUUGGCGGAAUUCGUUGUGUAGCGGUGAAAUGCAUAGAUAUGACGAAGAACACCGAUUGCGUAGGCAGCUGACCAGACCGCAAAUGACGCUCAUGCACGAAAGUGCGGGGAUCGAACAGGAUUAGAUACCCUGGUAGUCCGCACAGUAAACGAUGAAUACUUGUUUUCGGCGAUAUAAUGUCGGAGGCAAAGCGAAAGCGAUAAGUAUUCCACCUGGGGAGUACGCCGGCAACGGUG